rnacentral:sRNA from 1 species
GCUGGGCAUGGUGGCACAUACCUAUAAUCCCAGUGACUCAGGAGGCUGAGGUAGGAGGAUCAUGAGUUCAAAUCCAGCAUCAGUAACUUAGCAAGGCCCUGAGCAACUCAGUGAGACCCUAUCUCUA